GAUGAACGCUGGCGGCGUGCCUAAUACAUGCAAGUCGAGCGAACAGAUGCGGCUCUUGCUCCUCUGACGUUAGCCGCACACGUGUGAGUCACGCGUGGAUACCCUCCCUAUAAGUCUGGUAUAACUUCGGGAAACCGGCUCUAAUACCAUAUGAUAUCUUGCACCGCAUGGUUCAAUGGUGAGAGACGGUUUUGCUGUCACUUAUCGAUGGAUCCGCGCCGCAUUAGCUAGUUGGUAAGGUAACGGCUUACCACGGCAACCAUGCGUAGACGACCUGAGAGGCUGAUAGGCGACAUGAGAGCGGAGACGCCGUCCAGACGACUACGGUAGGCCGCAGUAGGGAAUGUGACGCAACGGGGGAAAGCAUGACGGAGCAACGCGGCGUGAGUGAUGAAGGUCUUCGGAUCGGAAAACUCGGUUAUUAGGGAAGAACAAAUGUGUAAGGAACCAUGCACGUCUUGACGGUACUUAAUCAGAAAGCCACGGCUAACUACGUG
rnacentral:rRNA from 1 species